UACGUAGGCGGAAUAUUAAGUCAGUAGUGAAAUCCCGCAGCUUAACUGUGGAACUGUUAUUGAUACUGGUUUUCUUGAAUAUAGUUGAGGUAGGCGGAAUGUGUAAUGUAGCGGUGAAAUGCUUAGAUAUUACACAGAACACCGAUUGCGAAGGCAGCUUACUAAGCUAUGAUUGACGCUGAGGUACGAAAGCGUGGGGAGCGAACAGGAUUAGAUACCCUGGUAGUCC
rnacentral:rRNA from 1 species